rnacentral:rRNA from 1 species
AGGAGGCAGCAGUGGGGAAUUUUGGACAAUGGGGGCAACCCUGAUCCAGCCAUGCCGCGUGAGUGAAGAAGGCCUUCGGGUUAUAAAGCUCUUUCGGUGGGAACGAAACGGUUACAGCUAAUACCUGUGACUAAUGACGGUACUCACACAAGAAGCACCGGCUAACUACGUGCCAGCAGCCGCGGUAAUACGUAGGGUGCGAGCGUUAAUCGGAAUUACUGGGCGUAAAGCGUGCGCAGGCGGUUACCUAAGUCAGGUGUGAAAGCCCUGGGCUUAACCUAGGAAUUGCGCUUGAGACUGGGUAGCUUGGAGUGUGGCAGAGGGAGGUGGAAUUCCACGUGUAGCAGUGAAAUGCGUAGAGAUGUGGAGGAACACCGAUGGCGAAGGCAGCCUCCUGGGCCAGCACUGACGCUCAUGCACGAAAGCGUGGGGAGCAAACAGGAUUAGAUACCCUGGUAGG